CCUACGGGGCGCAGCAGUGGGGAAUAUUGGGCAAUGGGCGCAAGCCUGACCCAGCAACGCCGCGUGAAGGAAGAAGGAAUUCGUUCUGUAAACUUCUGUUAUAAAGGAAGAAAGACGGAUGGAGGAAAUGACAUCCGAGUGACGGUACUUUAUGAGAAAGCCACGGCUAACUACGUGCCAGCAGCCGCGGUAAUACGUAGGUGGCAAGGGUUAACCGGAAUUAUUGGGCGAAAAGAGGGAGCAGGCGGCAGCAAAGGUCUGUGGUGAAAGACUGAAGCUUAACUUCAGUAAGCCAUAGAAAGCGGGCAGCUAGAGGGCAGGAGAGGAUCGUGGAAUUCCAUGUGUAGCGGUGAAAUGCGUAGAUAUAUGGAGGAACACCAGUGGCGAAGGCGACGAUCUGGCCUGCAACUGACGCUCAGUCCCGAAAGCGUGGGGAGCAAAUAGGAUUAGAUACCCCUGUAGUC
rnacentral:rRNA from 1 species